AAUACAAAAGGAAGUUUGGGGUGAGUAGGAGUCUCACCUGGUUCAUAGAGAAGUUGAUGUUACCCGCAUAAACUUGCUACUCAACUAACUACAUCAACUUGCUACUCAACUUGCCCAGCAAUUCUUCCCUCACCCUGCCAGGCUCACCUCACCUUGAAAAGCCUUAACACUGAAGAAGAUAUUUUCCAUCAGUGGAAGAGCUGAAACAUGCUUCUCUCCAGCCUUCUGAAGGUGGUCGUGGCUUCACUGUGUUUAGGAUCCAGUAUUGCCCAGAAAGUAACUCAAGACCAACCACCAAAGUCAGUGCAGGAGAAAGAAACUGUGACCCUGGAUUGCACAUAUGACACUGGUGAUACAACUUAUAGUCUAUUCUGGCACAAGCAACACAGCAGUGGGGUGAUGACCUUCCUCAUUCGCCAGGACUCUUAUAACAAGCCAAAUACCGCAGAAGGUCGCUACUCAUUGAAUUUCCAGAAGGCAAGCAAAUUCAUCACACUUACCAUCUCAGCUUCACAAUUGGAGGACUCUGCAGGGUAUUUCUGUGCACUGAGUGAGCCCACAGUGAGAGGCAUGUAGGAGGGACCUGUACCAAAACCCAGAGUUCUAAU